rnacentral:rRNA from 1 species
UAAACCGGAGGAGGGCGGGGAGUGACGUCAAGUCCUCAUGGCCCUUACAUCCCGGGCUACACACGUGCUACAAUGGCAGGGUACAGAGGGCUGCGAAGCCGCGAGGUGGAGCGAAUCCCAGAAAACCUGUCUCAGUCCGGAUUGAAGUCUGCAACUCGACUUCAUGAAGGCGGAAUCGCUAGUAACCGCGAAUCAGCAGGUCGCGGUGAAUACGUUCCCGGGCCUU